rnacentral:rRNA from 1 species
UACGUAGGGUGCGAGCGUUAAUCGGAAUUACUGGGCGUAAAGCGUGCGCAGGCGGUUUUGUAAGACAGAUGUGAAAUCCCCGGGCUUAACCUGGGAACUGCAUUUGUGACUGCAAGACUAGAGUGUGUCAGAGGGAGGUGGAAUUCCACGUGUAGCAGUGAAAUGCGUAGAUAUGUGGAGGAACAUCGAUGGCGAAGGCAGCCUCCUGGGAUAACACUGACGCUCAUGCACGAAAGCGUGGGGAGCAAACAGG